rnacentral:ncRNA from 2 species
UCCAGCGAAACCACAGCCAA